rfam:Gossypium raimondii chromosome 8, whole genome shotgun sequence.
UUUAUUUUAGUUCGGCUAGUAGGAUGUGUAGUCUUUAACCAUGUGGUUGUGGGAUCAAUUCCCACAAAUAAUU